rfam:Myotis lucifugus cont2.9452, whole genome shotgun sequence.
GCUAUAGUGGCUCAGUGGUUGAGCGUUGACCUGUGAACCAGAAGGUCACAGUUCAAUUCUGGGUUGUGGCA